rnacentral:misc_RNA from 1 species
UUUUUUUUUUAAAAUUUUUUUUCUAAUAAAAUUAUCAAAUGUGUUGUUUGGGUUUGUUUUACUUUCUAACAAGUUCUCAAAGUGCUAACUGAAUGGUGCAGUCCAUAUUCAUUUUACAAUGCGUGAUUGAAAAAAAGAGGUUUUAUAGAGCGAUUUACAUUUCAGUGUAUUGUCCUAAUCAUUAGAUGGUUAACUUUGGCUU